UACAGAGGGUGCGAGCGUUGUCCGGAAUCACUGGGCGUAAAGAGCUCGUAGGUGGUUUGUCGCGUUGUUCGUGAAAACCGGGGGCUUAACCCUCGGCGUGCGGGCGAUACGGGCAGACUUGAGUACUGCAGGGGAGACUGGAAUUCCUGGUGUAGCGGUGGAAUGCGCAGAUAUCAGGAGGAACACCGGUGGCGAAGGCGGGUCUCUGGGCAGUAACUGACGCUGAGGAGCGAAAGCGUGGGGAGCGAACAGG
rnacentral:rRNA from 1 species